AUUGAACGCUGGCGGCGGGCCUAACACAUGCAAGUCGGACGAGUGGCGGACGGGUGAGUAAUGUCUGGGAAACUGCCCGAUGGAGGGGGAUAACUACUGACAACGGUAGCUAAUACCGCAUACCAUCGGAUGUGCCCAGAUGGGAGUAGCUAGUGGGUGGGGUAAUGGCUCACCUAGGCGACGCUCCCUAGCUGGUCUGAGAGGAUGACCAGCCACACUGGAACGGAGACACGGCCCAGACCCCUCCGGGAGGCAGCAGUGGGGAAUAUUGGACAAUGGGGGCAAGCCUGAUGAAGCCAUGCCGCGUGUAUGAAGAAGGCUUUCGGGUUGUAAAGUACUUUCAGAGAGGAGGCGUUACUCGCAGAAGAAGCACCGGCUAACUCCGUGCCAGCAGCCGCGGUAAUUC
rnacentral:rRNA from 1 species